rnacentral:lncRNA from 1 species
UUUUUUUUUUUUUUUUUGCUUUUUAGGGCCACACCCAUAGCAUAUCGAAGUUCCCAGGCUAGGGGUCUAAUUGGAGCUACAGCUGCCAACCUAUGCCAGAGCCACAGCAACACCGGAUCCUUAACCCACUGAGCACGGUCAGGGAUCAAACCCAAAACCUCAUGGUUCCUAGCCAGAUUCGUUUCCACUGCACCAUGACGGGAACUCCAAAACUAAAUUAUUUGAAAAAGUGAGCCUCACACUGUGGUAUAUGAAUGACUGGCCAACAGGGACCUGCUGUAUAACACAGGGAACUCUACCCAGUAUUGUGUUCAUCUAUACUGGAAAAGAAUCCAAAAAAGAAUGGAUGUGUGUAUAACUGAAUCAGUUUGUUGUACAGCAAAAGUUAUCACAACCUUGUAAAUCAAUUAUACUACAAUAAAACUUUUAAAAGUGAAAAAAAAAUUAAAAAGGGCGUUCCCAUUGCGGUGCAGUGGAAACAAAUCUGACUAGUAUCCACAAGGAUGCAGGUUUGAUCCUUGGCUCAAUCAGUGGGUUAAAGAUGCGGCAUUGCUUGAGCUGUAGCGCAGGCCAGCAGCUGUAGCUCCAAUUCAACCCCUAGCCUGAGAACCUCCAUAUGCUGCAGGUGGGGACCCAAAAAGAUAAUAAAUAAAAGUUAAAAAGGGAGCCUCUCACUUCUCUACUGAGGGUGUCACCCAGGAGUCCCCUGUCUCCCAGAAGGAGCCUGGCCCACCCCCAGCUCUCUAGACACAGUGCAGCCCCUGUCUCUCAAACAGGAAAAGCUGACCCCCACCCAACCCUGGGGUAAUGUCUACUUUGCUCUUGGAAGGGGGUCCCAGAGGGAGGGGCAUUUAACGCACGAGUGGAGAAGUGGGGGAGGCACCAGAAGGGACGCUCAGGUAGGUGGCAAGAAGCCAGGUCCUGCCUCCCAAAAGCUCGGUGAGCUGGGCAGUGGCACGUGGAGUUGGAGGAUGGGAAUCCUGGUGCUAAAACCAGGACAGUCCUGGACAACCCGGGGCCUUUGGUCACCUUAGCAACUGCCCACUCGGUGAGAUGCGGGGGUAUCCAGAAGGUUCCUGACUCCCAGCUUAUCUCAGCCCCCUUACUCCUCUAUCCCAGACACCUGGAAUUCCACUGUCACCAGGAGGGACCUUUCCUAAUGGUGCUCAUGUGCUGGGCAUCAGAAAAGACCACGUGAAAUAAGGUGGUGCCUCUUUUGCAUUCUUUCUGAGAUUGCCCCAAAUGAAAACAUCUGCUAUUAACACGUCUGGCCUCGCUGUGGCGAGAUGACCUUCAGGAGGCAGGUGAGGUGUGCACAGCGACUGCCCUGCAACCCUGCCUCAGGGGUUUCCCUGGAGGAACCUGGGUACAAGGAGACCUGGGAAAGGGUGCUCGCUGGGCACGAGCCCCAGGCACAAGCUGUGACGCGGAUGAACCUCGAAAACAAACAGGCCAAGUGGAAGCAGCCCGACACUCGGGCCAUGUCCCACGACUCCAUUUAUAUGAAAUACCCCAAGUGGGUCAAUCCAUAGACACACGAGGCGGAUGAGUGGUUGCCAGGGACUGAGGGGCUGAGAGAGUUAAUGGGUACAGGGGUUUAUCCGGGGGGGUGGGCAGGGGUGGGUGUGUGAAAAGAAUGUUUGGGAAUUAGAUAGAAGUGGCUGAACCCCUCACUGUAAAAUAAUUAAUUUUGGGAGCUCCUCUGGUGGCGCAGCAGAAAUGAAUCUGACUAGCAUCCACAAGGAUGCAGGCUUGAUCCCUGGCCUUGCUCAGUGGGUUAAGGAUCCAGCAUUGCCGUGAGCUGUGGUGUAGGUCGCAGAAGUGGCUUGGAUCCUGCGUUGCUAUGGCUGUGGUGUAGGCCGGUAGCUACAGUUCCGAUUCGACCCCUAGCCUGGGAACUUCCAUAUGCCCUGGGUGUGGCCCUAAAAAAAAGCUAAAAUAAAAUAGUUAAUUUUAGGAGCCCCCACUGUGGCUCAGUGGUAAAGAACUAGUAUCCAUGAGGACGAGGGUUCCAUCCCUGGCCCUGCUCAGUGGGUUAAGGAUCCAGCAUUCCUUUGAGCUGUGGUGUAGGUCACAGACACAGCUCAGAUCCAGCAUUGCUGUGGCUAUGGUGUAAGCUGGCAGCUGUAGCUCUGAUUUAAUCCCUAGCCUGGGAAUUUCCAUAUUCCACAGGUGCGGCCCUAAAAAGCCCCCCCCCAAAAAAAAGAAAAUACUGAGAGAGACAGGAAAAGAAGUUAUUUUUGUUAUGUGAAUUUCCAAAAUAGUGCCUUGUUAAUAAUACCGAGCCCCAGAAGCCACCUGAGUGGCUCUCAGGAGGGAUCCUGGGCCUCUGGUACAGUGACUGAGAGAGGGAGGUGGCAGUGGGGGGGCAGGGAGAGGGAAGACCUCAGUCUAACCUGCGCUGUGCACCUGCCUCCUCGUGUGGGUGUCCAAGGCCCAGGCUUGCAGAGCAGGUGCAGAGUGGGGUGGUCCAGGCCUGACCCACUGGGACCUGGCUACCUGAGCCUCUUCUUAGCCCACACUCAGCCCGUGCCCAUCAGCUCUGCCCUGCCCACCAGGCUGCUGGUGUCUCUGACAGAGCCCCUUAGCCUGGAGGUAACCAGGGAGGGCUCCCCACCAAACCUUUGCAUAAAAAAAUGCACAAAUAAAAGGAAAAGGUGUCUUGGAUUAGUAGAUGCGAACUAUGACAUUUAGGAUGGAUGAGCAAUGAGGUCCUGCUGUGCGGCGCAAAGAACCAUAUCCAGUCACUUGGGAUAGAACAUGAUGGAAGAUAAUAUGAGGAAAAGAAUGUAUGUAGAUGUAUCACUGGGUCGCUUUGCUGUACAGGAGAAACUGACAGAACAUUGUAAAUCAACUAUAAUAAAAAAUAUUUUUUAAGUCAUUUAAAAAAAAACAAAAAACAAAAA